UAGAUUUUUCAGAGUAGCAGAGAGGGUGCAAAGUAUGCUCUGGUUUGAAGCAGCCAUACCAAAGCUACCUCACCCUGGAGGCGAGAAGAAGCUAGUUCAGGGCUUCCCUGGCCAGAGGGUCCAGCUAUGUCAACAUUCAUUUUCAUCUUUGGUCUGAAAAUCAGAAGACUGCUCCAUCCUGAAACCACUCACCUGAAAAUUGUUCCCAAGAGGCCAUCAUGUUUAGGUGCUAUUCUGAUGGCUUAUGAGCUGUACAUGCCAUUUGUGGCAAACUGUGGUAAACUAAUGAGAACUGGACCCAUGGUGUCCAUUUCAAAGAUGGCGGCCAUUACUAAGCUCCAGCAGCUGCUUCCAUGUUGAAAGGUGAACUCAGCGUUGCCUAAUCUCCUAAUUGCUGUUCUGUUUGUUUGUUAAAUAUUGAGCUAGGAUUCUGGAUUUCGAAAAAUGAUAAGUCUGUCAAUUCUUAAAUUUGGCAAUUAUUUGAAAAUAUUAAAGCCCUGUGCUGGGCAAUUUUUCGUGGGUUGAACAGAAUAUGCCUGCUGGUCCCAAAGACUGCAAUUUGAGACUUCUGUUCUAAUUGAGUUAUUUGGGGGAUAAACUUUUUACUUAAUGUCUUACUUAUGAAACCCCAAUAAAAUAUCUGUGGCAUGUAUCCUUUUGAUCACUCUACAAGUCUUCCAGAAGGUAUAUUAUCCCUGACUGGAUCAGCCUAAAGGAUUUUCAUUUCUUAAAAAGAAAAUUUUGUUUACAUGGGAGCUAAGGGAGUAGCCAUUCACUAAUUUAAAUAAUAAACGUAUUGAACAUCUAAUUCUACCCAGUACUGUGGCCACCAGAAACAUAUUCAGAAAAGAAUAUUAAUAAUGUGAACUAAAAAUUGUCCAUUGCCUUUAGCCAUAAAGAGUUUCACUGACCAACUGAAUUAGAGCAACUUCUGUGGAUUGUUGGAAGCAAAAGCAUAAAAGCCAUAGUAUAAAGAAUGAAUGGUAGGUAUAGAGAAAAAGAUAGUAGGAGUAGAUAAGUUGUGUAUAAGCUUACAUAUGAAAAUAUGUAGUAAAAUGAGAAGAAAUCAAUGACAAAAAUGAGAUCUUGGUGGAAGAAGAAAAAACAGUGAGGAGGACAGAGAAGGAUCUACCAGAUUCAGAUUGAAAAUGUGAGAGGAGUUGCACAGUAGAAGGCAAAUUGUGAGAAUUUAAAAAAAUAAGUUAUAAGAUUUAUUUCAGAUAGUUGCAAUAUUUUUUACUUAUGAUUUCUAUUUCUCUAUUGAUAACUUUCAUAUUAGUCUUUGAUAAUUCUAACAUCUGGAUCAUCUCAAG
rnacentral:lncRNA from 1 species